rnacentral:lncRNA from 1 species
AAUCCCAAAUCAGACCUAGGGCCCCUUUUGGCCAAUAUCAAAAUUCUGGCACGGCGACUCUGCCGUGCUUCGACGACGGCGCCAACACCUGCAGCGGCGAUCCACCUCGGGUUGGCCGUUUUCGGUCGAAUUCGGCCAAACUUGCAUUGGUCCCUGCAAUAAAACAACCCUAGGGCCCUCGGUGGGCCAAAAAAUCACGAAAAAUCGAGACUUACCGGCGGCGGUUCUCUCGGGUGCGGCGGCUUCUCCGGCAUG